rnacentral:rRNA from 1 species
AGCAGCCGCGGUAAUUCCAGCUCCAAUAGCGUAUAUUAAAGUUGUUGCAGUUAAAAAGCUCGUAGUUGAAUUUCGGGAUUGACGUGAUGGUCAUGCCUUAAGGGGUAUGAACUGUUACAGUUGAUUUCUCACCUUCUGGAGAAACUUGAUGUCCUUUAUUGGGUGUCUUGCGGAUCCAGGACCUUUACCUUGAAAAAAUUAGAGUGUUUAAAGCAGGCAUUUUUGCUCGAAUACAUUAGCAUGGAAUAAUAGAAUAGGACGGCAUGGUUCUAUUUUGUUGGUUUCUAGGAUCACCGUAAUGAUUAAUAGGGAUAGUUGGGGGCAUUAGUAUUCAAUUGUCAGAGGUGAAAUUCUUGGAUUUAUUGAAGACUAACUACUGCGAAAGCAUUUGCCAAGGAUGUUUUCAUUAAUCAAGAACGAAAGUUAGGGGAUCGAAGACGAUCAGAUACC